rnacentral:rRNA from 1 species
UACAGAGGUUGCGAGCGUUGUUCGGAAUUAUUGGGCGUAAAGCGCUUGUAGGCGGCCCGGCAAGUCCCGUGUGAAAUCCCUCGCUUAACUGAGGAAGUGCGCCCGAAACUGCAGAGCUUGAAUACCGGAGAGGAUGGCGGAAUUCCCCAAGUAGAGGUGAAAUGCGUAGAUAUCAAGAGGAACACCAGUGGCGAAGGCGAGUCCCUGGACAAUACCUGACACUGAGGCACGAAAGCUAGGGGAGCAAACAGG